CUACGGAGGGUGCAAGCGUUGUUCGGAAUCACUGGGCGUAAAGGGCGCGCAGGCGGUUUGGUAAGUCAGAUGUGAAAGCCCACGGCUCAACCGUGGAAGUGCAUUUGAAACUGUCAGACUUGAGUACUAGAGGGGAAAGUGGAAUUCCCGGUGUAGAGGUGAAAUGCGUAGAUAUCGGGAGGAAUACCGGUGGCGAAGGCGACUUUCUGGCUAGAUACUGACGCUGAGGCGCGAAAGCGUGGGGAGCAAACAGGAUUAGAAACCCCAGUAGUCC
rnacentral:rRNA from 1 species